GAUGAACGCUAGCGGCAGGCCUAGCACAUGCAAGUCGAGGGGUAGAGGAAGCUUGCUUCCUUGAGACCGGCGCACGGGUGCGUAACGCGUAUGCAAUCUACCUUUUACAGAGGGAUAGCCCAGAGAAAUUUGGAUUAAUACCUCAUAGUAUAUAUCAUUCGCCUGUUUGAUAUAUUAAAGUUCCAACGGUAAAAGAUGAGCAUGCGUCCCAUUAGUUAGUUGGUAAGGUAACGGCUUACCAAGACGAUGAUGGGUAGGGGUCCUGAGAGGGAGAUCCCCCACACUGGUACUGAGACACGGACCAGACUCCUACGGGAGGCAGCAGUGAGGAAUAUUGGUCAAUGGACGCAAGUCUGAACCAGCCAUGCCGCGUGCAGGAAGACGGUCCUAUGGAUUGUAAACUGCUUUUGUACGGGAAGAAACACUCCUACGUGUAGGAGCCUGACGGUACCGUAAGAAUAAGGAUCGGCUAACUCCGUGCCAGCAGCCGCUGUAAAAC
rnacentral:rRNA from 1 species